rnacentral:rRNA from 1 species
GAUGAACGCUGGCGGUGUGCCUAAUACAUGCAAGUCGAGCGAACAGACGAGGAGCUUACUCCUCUGACGUUAGCGGCGGACGGGUGAGUAACACGUGGAUAACCUACCUAUAAGACUGGGAUAACUUCGGGAAACCGGAGCUAAUACCGGAUAACAUGUUGAACCGCAUGGUUCAACAGUGAAAGACGGUCUUGCUGUCACUUAUAGAUGGAUCCGCGUCGCAUUAGCUAGUUGGUAAGGUAACGGCUUACCAAGGCAACGAUGCGUAGCCGACCUGAGAGGGUGAUCGGCCACACUGGAACUGAGACACGGUCCAGACUCCUACGGGAGGCAGCAGUAGGGAAUCUUCCGCAAUGGGCGAAAGCCUGACGGAGCAACGCCGCGUGAGUGAAGAAGGUCUUCGGAUCGUAAAACUCUGUUAUUAGGGAGGAACAAAUGUGUAAGUAACUAUGCACGUCUUGACGGUACCUAAUCAGAAAGCCACGGCUAACUACGUG